rnacentral:rRNA from 1 species
GUUCUGGGCUACACACGUGCUACAAUGGCCGGUACAGACGGACGCAAGCCGCGAGGUGGAGCAAAUCCUAAAAAGCCGGUCUCAGUUCGGAUUGCAGGCUGCAAUUCGCCUGCAUGAAGUCGGAAUCGCUAGUAAUCGCAGGUCAGCAUACUGCGGUGAAUACGUUCCCGGGCCUU